rnacentral:tRNA from 1 species
GGAGAUUUAGCUCAGUGACACAGCUCCUGCCUGGCAAGCAUGAGGUAAUGAGUUUGAAUCUCAGUACCCACCA